GGGAAGUAUUUGUCUUUUCUUUUUUUUUUUUUUAAACCAUUACUCAACAUAUGUCCUGCGUGUGGUAUGAUUUUUGAAAGGCUCAGAAGGCCUAGAAUUCUGUGCCCAUACCUAUGCCAUGCAGCAAACAGGACUGUCUUUGGAAGACAGCUGCAGAGGAAGGCCAUUUUCCCCUGGGAUUGGGAUCGUUUUGUCUAAAGGAGUUUCGGACGGAAGGUAUAGAUCUUAGUAAAUAAGGGAACGUCUGGUGGGAGGAACAGAAAGUACCAAAAAGAGGAGAUGAUAAGCAAGUUUUAAGUCAUCCCUACUUCUAUCUAUCAAAGAAACCACACCAAGGACUGGCCAUCAGACUUCACCUGCAAUACCUAAAGAUUUGGGUAAAUCCUCUCUUUCUGAGAUCUUCAAAAUAUCCUGAGUUUCCUGGGCUAUAAGGAAAUGACCUGCCUUGCACAUCUGGGAGAAGUCUUGAGCACUCAAAUUAAUGUUCCGUUUAACAAAUAUUUGUGAGCACCAACUCUGUACAAGGUAAACUAUUGGAUCCUAAGGCCCAGAAGAAGAAUAAGACAAAUCCUUGUUCACAAUGAGCUUGGUCAAUGUUGAUGAUUCCUGAAAGGUAACCUGUGGCAUGACUGCUCACAUCCUGAGUAGUCCACUACCCCAAAAUAAACUUAUAAACAAAUGUGAAGAGACUCUCCUCCUAGUCCCUACAGCAUUCCA